GAUGAACGCUGGCGGCGUGCCUAAUACAUGCAAGUCGAGCGAACGGACGCGAAGUUUGCUUCUCUGAUGUUAGCGGCGCACGGGUGAGUAACAUGUGGAUAACCUACCUAUAAGACUGGGAUAACUUCGGGAAACCGUAGCUAAUCCCAGAUAAUCUUUUGAACCGCAUGGUUCAAAAGUGAAAGUCGGUCUUGCUGUCACUUAUAGAUGGAUCCGCGCUGCAUUAGCUAGUUGGUAAGGUAACGGCUUACCACGGCAACGAUGCAUAGCCGACCUGAGAGGGGGAUCGGCCACACGAGAAGGUGAACGCCGUCCAUACUCCUACGGGAGGCAGCAGAAGGGAAUCGUCCGCAGUGGUCGGAAACCUGGCAGAACAACGCCGCGUGAGUUAUAAAGGUCUUCGGAGCGUAAAACUCUGUUAUUAGGGGAGAACAGAUUUGUAAGUAGCUGAGCACAUCUUGACGGUACCUAAUCAGAAAGCCACGGCUAACUACGUG
rnacentral:rRNA from 1 species